rnacentral:rRNA from 1 species
CCUUGUACACACCGCCCGUCACACCAUGGGAGCGGGUUUUACCAGAAGUAGGUAGCUUAACCGCAAGGAGGGCGCCUACCACGGUGAGAUUCAUGACUGGGGUG